rnacentral:rRNA from 1 species
AUUGAACGCUGGCGGCAUGCCUUACACAUGCAAGUCGAACGGUAACGGGCCUUCGGGUGCCGACGAGUGGCGAACGGGUGAGUAAUGUAUCGGAACGUACCUUUCAGUGGGGGAUAACGUAGCGAAAGUUACGCUAAUACCGCAUAUUCUGUGAGCAGGAAAGCAGGGGAUCGCAAGACCCUGCGCUGAUUGAGCGGCCGAUAUCAGAUUAGCUAGUUGGUGAGGUAAAGGCUCACCAAGGCGACGAUCUGUAGCGGGUCUGAGAGGAUGAUCCGCCACACUGGAACUGAGACACGGUCCAGACCCCUACGGGAGGCAGCAGUGGGGAAUUUUGGACAAUGGGGGCAACCCUGAUCCAGCCAUGCCGCGUGAGUGAAGAAGGCCUUCGGGUUGUAAAGCUCUUUCGGCCGGGAAGAAAUCGUAUGGGUUAAUACCCUGUGCGGAUGACGGUACCGGCAUAAGAAGCACCGGCUAACUACGUGCCAGCCGCCGCUGUAACAC